CCCAUCCAGCGAGAGAAACCUAGCUCCCAGAGCCGGUGCAGUCAGUCCCCUCGCCCCUCCCGCCCCUGUGCGGGUCCCCCUCCAGCCGUCGCUGCAUGCACCACCUCGGUUCCACUCAAUCGAUUUUUGCUGCAUGUCAACACUUAUUACCGCUGUUACCUAAACAACAAACUAGACACACUUCACUGCAAACAGUGGGAAGAAUGGUGUUACCUUUGAUGAAACAUCCAUGGAACAUUUGUAUUUCAUGAGCAGCUUUAUGGUGAGAAAUUGAAACCUCCUGCCAACAGCCAUGUGAGUGAGCUUGGAAGCAGAUUCUCCAGCUCUUCAAAUAAUGGCAGCCCCAGAAAACAACUUAAAUGCAACCUCCUGAGAGUCUCUGAGCUAGAACUACCUAGCUAAACUGCUGUGAGAUUCUUCAACCUCAAAACUGGGAUGAGAUAACAAAUAUUUAUUGUUUUAAGGAAUCUUCAAAUGAUAAUUUUGAAAAGAGAAGCAGUCAUUUUCACGAUGAAGAGAUGAGUUGUCAAAAGCCC